UGGGGAAUAUUGGACAAUGGGCGCAAGCCUGAUCCAGCCAUGCCGCGUGGGUGAAGAAGGCCUUCGGGUUGUAAAGCCCUUUUGUUGGGAAAGAAAAGCAGCCGGUUAAUACCCGGUUGUCAUGACGGUACCCAAAGAAUAAGCACCGGCUAACUUCGUGCCAGCAGCCGCGGUAAUACGAAGGGUGCAAGCGUUACUCGGAAUUACUGGGCGUAAAGCGUGCGUAGGUGGUGAUUUAAGUCAGAUGUGAAAGCCCUGGGCUCAACCUGGGAACUGCAUUUGAUACUGGGUCACUAGAGUGCGGUAGAGGAUAGCGGAAUUCCUGGUGUAGCAGUGAAAUGCGUAGAGAUCAGGAGGAACAUCCGUGGCGAAGGCGGCUAUCUGGGCCAGCACUGACACUGAGGCACGAAAGCGUGGGGAGCAAACA
rnacentral:rRNA from 1 species